GACAGAGGGUGCAAACGUUGCUCGGAAUCACUGGGCGUAAAGGGCGUGUAGGCGGGAAGGAAAGUCAGAUGUGAAAUCUCCGGGCUUAACUCGGAAAGGUCAACUGAUACUGUGCGACUAGAGUGCGGAAGGGGCAACUGGAAUUCUCGGUGUAGCGGUGAAAUGCGUAGAUAUCGAGAGGAACACCUGCGGCGAAGGCGGGUUGCUGGGCCGACACUGACGCUGAGGCGCGAAAGCCAGGGGAGCGAACGGG
rnacentral:rRNA from 1 species